rnacentral:rRNA from 1 species
GAUGAACGCUAGCUACAGGCUUAACACAUGCAAGUCGAGGGGAAACGGCAUUGAGUGCUUGCACUCUUUGGACGUCGACCGGCGCACGGGUGAGUAACGCGUAUCCAACCUUCCCAUUAAUGUGGGAUAACCUGCCGAAAGGCAGACUAAUACCGCAUAGUCUUCGAUGACGGCAUCAGAUUUGAAGUAAAGAUUUAUCGGUAAUGGAUGGGGAUGCGUCUGAUUAGCUUGUUGGCGGGGUAACGGCCCACCAAGGCGACGAUCAGUAGGGGUUCUGAGAGGAAGGUCCCCCACAUUGGAACUGAGACACGGUCCAAACUCCUACGGGAGGCAGCAGUGAGGAAGAUUGGUCCAUGGACGGAAGUCUGAACCAGCCAAGUAGUGUGCAGGAUGACGGCCCUAUGGGUUGUAAACUGCUUUUGUAUGGGGAUAAAGUUAGGGACGGGUCCCUAUUUGCAGGUACCAUACGAAUAAGGACCGGCUAAUUCCGUG